UGGGAGGGCAUGUCGGAAACGCUGCUCUUAAUCUGCCCAUCUCCCCUCCAGCCCCCAGCAGCCCAGGAGGAGGGGCUGAGAUAAAGCCACAGGCGGCAGGCAGGAGAUUAAGAGCUGCUGUUUUUAUCGCUGUUCUCACAGAGCCGCCUGGAACGGGGGCGUUAGCAAGCUGGGCGUGGGGGGCGGGGCGUGCGGGGGCACUGGGAGGAUGCUGGCGCCACCCGGCCCUGCAGCCCCGCGGGUCCCUGCCUGGAGCCACUUGUGGGCAGCUGUGACGAGGAGUAAAAGACAAAAAUGAUCCUGGAUGGUGUGCAGGGGCUCGAGUGGCGAUGUGAAGGUGCAGGAGUAUUAAAUGGGACUGUGAUGGCAUUAAAGGCAGGAACCUUCCCCGUGCGCUCACCAUGUUCCCGCCCUCGAUGAAAUGUUUGUCACCCAUUACCCUCAUUGAUCCUCGCGGGGGAAAUUUGGUCACAGAGGUAGACACACAGAGCGGAGAUAAGGAGAAGACGGCCAUGUGAAGACAGAGGGAGAGAUGCUGCCACAAGCCAAGGAAUGCCAAGAAUUGCUAAAACCUGCCAGAGGCUGGGGGAGGCGCGCAAGGGCUUUCCAUAAAGACUUCAGAAGGAGCCUGGCCCCGCGGACACCUUGAUUUCAGACGUCUAGCUUCCAGAAUUGUGAGAGAAUAAACUUCCAUUGUUUUAAGCCACCUGGUUUUGGGUACUUUGUUACGGGGGUGACGGAAACUAAGACAGCGCCUCAUCGUAGUAGAUGCGGUCAGUGCCUGUCCAGCUUCUCCGGGCUGCCCUGGAACUCUUCUGCAGCGUGGUGUACACAGUGGGGGUCUUCACGGGCGCCAGGGUCUCUCUGGCUGCAGGCUUUCUCUGAAUGCAGAAGUCAGCUCAGCUGGGCACAGAGCGGGCUGCAACUGCGCAAGGAUUAAUGCCCCUGGGAGCAGCCCACAGCCAACAAGGGCUGGGAGUCACUGGGUAAACACCCAGCUUCCUCACCCCUGGGUGGGACAGUUUUGAGCUGUGGGACACACAUCUCUCAGAUGUGUCCAGUGGGACUGAGCCCCAUUCCCACAGUGGUAACCUGUUUGUUAACGUUCCCUUAAUGGGCGUCCUCCCAUCCUAUCUCCCUUCCUUACUGUCCUGCUGGUGCUUCCUGGGAUCAGCUCCUAAAUCGACAACUUGUAUCGUCUCGGGUCUCAUCUUAGCUCAGCUUUCCGGGAGACCCAUAGAACGACACUCAAAGGGCAGCUGCUUUCUCUUCCUGGUCACAAAGAGAAGGUCAGGUGUUGGCAUCUUCGAGCUAAAUGGACCAGUAGCUACUCCUCGACCACGUGGUAAAUUUUGAAGACCAUGAAGGCCCUCAAAAACUGACACAGCAUCUCAAGGAGAAGAUGACAUCGGUGACAAUGAAGGUGGAGAAAAUAGUAUUAAGCAGAAUUCUUGGGCACAGGCCUGGGGAAGGCAGCCAGUCUGGUGGGACUGCUCCCCCAAAUAAUAGGGAAGACAGGUGGUUACUCCCAGGGGCCCACUUGAGGUGGGAGUCAUGAGCUGGGAGCCUGGGCUCUUGGAAGGCAGCAGAGGCAAGGGGACAGGUGACAGAAGGCUGGGCUGUGGACACAGUGAUCCCCCCCAAAGACUCCUCUUUAAGUCUUCCUGAAAAUCAUGAAACCACGAAAUCCUCGUAUGUGACAGGAUUUCUUGUGAAACAAGUGAUGGGGCCAAGGUCCAUGCUCAGUCCACACUGAACGGGCACAGUAGACUCAGGAGUGGGGAAGUAAGGUGGAUAGUCUCCUGAAAUUGUGCAGAGGGGCUGGGAACUGCGCAGGCUGGGAUACAGGGCUCUGAGCCAAGUUUACCCAAAUCCCAAGGGAUAGAGUAGCCUGGAGCACACACUGGUCAUUUGUGACUGCCCAUCACCCAGGAGCCCUCUCCCUACAUUCUGGGUAAUUUCCCACAUUUUGAGUCCUGCCUUAAUCAAGACAGAAGGAAGAAUAAACACAUUGUUAGAUUCCCUUGCAUUCUGGAACAUAACUUGCAGAGUUCUGCAAAGCCGAUGCAUCCGUGGGAGCCUAGGGUUCAGAACUGAGCGCCAUGAGGAAGUGGCCGCACACUGGGAACCUGUCCUCCUGGCAAGCACGGUGACCUCAGGGGCAGCAGUGUGGAGCCCCUGGCAUUGGUUCUGAGUCUGAGGAGCUUCUGGCAAUGACAGGAGAGGGAUGUUUUCUCAGGGGAAGUCCCUACGGUGUGGACAUUGCUCCUGGUGGCAAUGCUUCAGAGUGGCCUUCCUUAUCCCUCCCAGGGAUUCUGGGAGCCAUCUGAUCCCCUCAAAUGAAUUCUUUUCUGCUUAAGGCAGCCUGAGUGGAUUCUGGUAUUUGCCCCUAACAACCCUCUCCUCUACGGGCCUGAGCGACUUCUGGGUUUCAUCAAUAAUAGCUAACCUUUCCUAGGGGGUUACUGGGAGACCGGCUGUGCCUGAUGCCCUAGACGUGAGUUAUUUCUGUAAAUCAUCCCAACACCCAUAUGGGAUGGAGUGGGGAACUGAUGGGAAACUGAGAGGCAGACUCAGGUCUGUUUGGGUCCAAAACUUGUGUUUUCCACCUUCUCGGGACCAUCGGAUCUCCAACAUUCCUCAUGGGCCACAACAAGCGGCGAACACCUACGUUAUUGUAUGUACAAGAGCCCAGGUGAAAAUUACCCUCCCUCUUUUUGCCCCCCUUUUCCAUUCCCUGCCCUCAGGACGAAUUCCUUCUGCUAAAAGAAAAGGAAGCCUGGGUCCUGGGCCUCGUGCAUCAAUUGUGGGAAGGAGGAGGGUUGGAAGUGGGGAGGAGGUUGCUCCUGGAGAAUCUUCAUUUAGCUGAGUAGAAAUAAUGUCAAAUGAAGUCCUGCUAUCCCAUAUGAAUCCCCCUUCCCCAACACCCCCCAAAUAGGCCAUAAUCAAUACUCCGGUGGUCCCAUAGAGCGAGCGUAGAAGCGGUUGUUUCUGAACUCUUUCUGAACCGGCAGUCCUGCAGACACACUGAAGAUGAUGUCAAUUUUUAGAUACACCAGCAAUUUAACAAUAGCAUGCAGAGGAUAAACAAAAAGAAAUAAUCGCUAACAUAUGCUGAGGGCCUACGACCUGCCAAGCGCUAUGCUCAAACUCUCUUUCAUUUAUUGUCGAUUUGGUCCUAUUAUUAAUAGCCUCGAUUGACAGAUGAGGCACCUGAGGCCUCCAGAAGGGGUGUGGUUUGCUCAGGGCCACAUGGCGGGAAACAGCAGAGCACGGAGUGUGACUCCACAGCCCGGACUGUGGCUUGCUCCUAACCCUCAUUCUGGAACAUCUCCCAAGAAAUACCACCUUCCCAUUGAUUUUAAGUCACAUCUCCAUUUCCGAAACGUUACCAAAUGAAGAAGCGCGUCUCAGAGGUGAGGAAACACAGAAGCUCCCAGCUCAUGAGGAGCCUUGGGAAGCUUCCCAUAAGUCACCACCCCUCCCCUCCCCCUUCCUGAGAGGAAGGAGGCAGGAUGAGAGCAGAGCCGCAUCCGUCUCCAUCUCCCUCUGAGCUACUGCUCGUUUGGACUGCAUCGACCCUCGUGAUGAAUGCCGGCGGCUGGUGUCUCCACCGGACUGGACCCUGCCGUUCAAUGCAGAAGUUUUCCUUGGGAGAUGCAGUUCCCGGGUUCUGCGCUGUGUCUAAACCCCCAGAAAGGCUCGUCAAGGGGCUGAAUCGCACUCCCCUUCUCUUUUAAUUAUUCAGGCCUUGACACGCUGACUGGGAAUACAUCACUCAGAAUACAUGGCUGGUAAGAUUAAAUAUUAGAGGAAACUCUUUUAAUUAAUUUUUAAUGUGUUCUUUAGAACAAUUCUUCAUACCUAACCACACACUGAAACAGAGUACUUAAAAGAAAAAUUAACGUUUAGGAUCUCAGAGGCCUGUGGGUCUGGACAGCCCCUAUUUGGGUUGUCUCUGAACUACAUACAUAUCAGGAUGUACUGGGGAUGACAUCCAUGGCAUAAAAGUGCGGUGACCACAUGUCCGGUUUUAUUGGACAAUCCUAGUUUGUGCCUGUUGUACCAGUGUACUUAUUAAUAGGUGCCCCCUUUUCCUUGCCAUAGAAUUUCAGUUUGGAUGUUAAAUUAUGUGAUCACCCUACUUAAAGGCCACCACUCUCCCUUCCCUUGCCAGUGACAGACAUCACUAGUUGAUCACGGCACCAUGUCCUUGCUGAUUCCAUACGCAUCCUUUAAGGCAUCUCAAUACAACCUUCCAGCCAGCCACUCAAAGCCAUUAAAGUUGGCAGCAAGAUGAACCCUGUUUUUCUUUGCUGAGAAAGCAGUUUACAUCAAAUCCUUAUAUUUUUAUUUCAUCUUUAUCUUUAAACCACUUUUCCAUUCAGGCUCUUCAUUUUGUGCCUUGCUUUUCAGUGGGAGCCCUGUUGCCAUUUCCUGUAGGGCAAUUCAUUGUGGGUGGAUAUCUCAAGCAUUAUAGGACAUUUAAUACAUUCAGUAUCCCGGGCCCCAUGGACGUUAAAUGUCAGUAGCACAAUCUCAUCCACCCCCCAAACCUGGUCACUGUGACAAACAAAAAUAUGCCCCCAAUGAACACAUACUUCCAGAACUGCCCUGGGGAGACACCACUACCCCGAGUUUGAAAUAAAUGAAGGUAUUAAGAACCAGAGUAGGCCAAAGAUUGUUGCUUUGAUUAUCUGUUGUUGCCUGGUAACCCCCAUAUCUCCCUCCCUCCCAAGAGUUCAUUGGCUUAAAACAACAACAACUUGUUUUUUAAAAUUUGCUCACAGUUUUACAAUUUUGGCUUGAUGGAGCAGCUCAGCUGGGGCAAGAAAGUUCCCCCACACAGCAGAGAGAUUGGUGCUGGCCGUCCGCUGCAAGCCCGGCGAGGGCUGAGCCUGGCCUUCUAGUUCUCCAUCCUGUGGGCCUUGUCACAGGCUGCUUGGGCUUCCUUGUAGCAUGGUGGCUAGGUUUCAAAAGGGAGGAAGCAGAAGCUGCCAGUUCUCUUAAAGGUUAGGCCUGGAACUGGCGUGAAGCUACGUCUUCCCUAUUGUACUGGUCAGAGCAGUCACAGGCCCAGCCCAGAAUCAGGGGACGAAGGAAAUAGACCCCACUUCUCAGUGGGAGGAGUGACAAAGGAUUUUAAUUCACCACAUGUUCCUUCAUAUUAUCUCAUCUUGAGAAUUGAGAUAAUCUUAAAAGGUAGAAUGGGCAUGAAUUUCCCCACUUUACAUGGGGUGCGGCUGAGGCUCAGAGGGUUGGUGUGGCUUGUCCAUAGCAGAUAGGUAGUUCAUAAGCUUGGACUUGGGACAGAGGAAAGGGUGGUGACAAGCUCUGAAGGCUUCCUGUGAUUUCCUUGGAACUAGUGUAGUGAGAACCAAACCAGACAGAGUCAGAGGGUGUCACUCGGGUGAGGACCGUUUCUCAGAAGCGUCACUCUGACAGGGCCCUUUGCUGUGUUAGACACAUCAAUCGUGCCCGGGUUCCUGCACAGCCCCAGAGCCUCUGUUGUUUACUCAUUCAUCACAUAUUUAUUGAACAUCACCAGGGGCCAGACACGGUGCUAGACCCACAGGAAGGCAAGGUGAAUGAGACAGAGAUGGCCCUGGUAUCCCCACAGUCUCGAGGGGAGACGACAGUGAUGUAAUUGCCCAUGGGAGGGACCUACAGCUGUAAGAAGUGCUAUGAAGAGAGAGUACAGGGUGCCAUGGGCAUGCAUCAGAUGGGAGCUGACCUGCAGCGUGUCAGGGAAGGUGUCCCCAAGGAAGUGGCACCUCCGCUAAGACCUGAAGGAUGGGGGCAAAUAAGGAGGCAAAGAGAGAGGGCAGGGAAGGUGUUCUAGGCAGCUCCUAUCUAUCUGCUGUGGUGGCGCUCUGCAAGGAACCCAAGGAAGCCAGGUGGCGGAAUCAGAGAGUGGUGUGAGAGAGGGCUAUGGAGGAAGGAAGGGACCUGAGUGGGCAGGACCUCGUGGGCCAAUGAAAGAUGCUCUCCUGCUUGUUAUUCUUGUGUGAUUCUGAUAACAAUGGGAAAGCAUCUUGUUUUGGAAAGAUUGCUCCAGCUGUCACUUGGAGAAUCGAUUGGAGGGACAGAAGUGCAUUUGGGGAGAGCGGGUGGCUCAGCUCCUGCUGAGAAAGCAGCCUGAGACAGUGUGAGCCUGCCAACAAGGCCAUUUUUCCACACACUGGCCACAGUGACUACCCCCCACCCCCACCUCUGCCCCGCUAUUUGACUUGCAAUGAUUGAGAUGGCAGCUCUGCUCUGUGAUAUUAGCAGAGGCUCCCCUGUUCCUAGGGUGUUGCCCUUCUCCACACGGUCCAACAUGCACAGCCAGGAGCACAGUGAGGUGCCUGGGGAGCAAAGGUUAACAAAGCAUUCAUUCUUGGUCUGCAUCGUGCAACCCUGAAAGUAAGCACCUCCUUAACUUUUGCACCCAGCAUGCUUCCCUCACCUCCCUCUAGUCCUUGCCAGGCCACCAUGGCUUAUCUCCAAACUCACAUUGUGCGGGCAGGAAAGGGGGGCCGGGGGGGCGUGCCCCUUCCUUGUAAGGGCAUGACCUGCAGUUGGCCAUAUCACUUCCCACACAUUCCAUUGGCCAGAAAGGAGUCACUGCCCCGUGUAGCUGCCAGGAAAGCCACGCGUGUCCUCUCGAUCCUGGGCAGCCGGGUUCCUGGCUAACGUUUUGGAGUUCAGCAGCUGUAGAAGGGGAACAGAUAGCCCUGAGGCACACCUCAGACCCAGAGGCUGUGCAGCCCGCUGGUUAGAGAAGGGAGGUGAACGUCAAGGCCUCCCCGGCUGGACUCCCAUCCCAGUCCUGCCAGCUCUUGGCUGAGUGGCCUUGGGCAAGUUGUUUAAAUUCUAAGCCUCCACUCUUUGUCUGUGGAAUGUGGAUUGCGAUGGGACUUAAUGCACAGAGGACUAGGAAAAGUUGCUUCUGGUUAUUAAAUGUUGACAGUUUCCCAAGCACAGGCUGAGAGAGAGCCAGGAGCUCACCUAGUCAGCUCCGGCACUUUACCAGGGAGGAUGCUGGGGCUCAGAGAGAGGGGGCUUGCCAAGAUGGCACAUGAAUGGAGGGUGGGGAACUGGACCCCCAGCUCCCGGGGCACCUCGCUUUCCUGAACGCCCAUUCUCUCCGCAGCUCCUGUAUGGAGCAGCCCCAACAAACUCCUCCAGAGGGACAGGGCGCUCCGGCACAUGGCAUUCCUGUGGGAAAUGAGUGGGCUUUCCGUCCCGCUUAGAGGUGGGUGGGGACAGACUGGGGAGGAGUUAAGAGGGACACUUGGAGACUUCUGGCUCCAGCUGAGUUCAGAGGUAGCUCUCCCCUCCUCCUUCCCCGGCUUGUUCUCCUCCCUUCGUCUUGUUUUCCUCCCUUCGUCGCUCCUCCUCCUUUGCCUCUUCUCCCCCUCCUCUCCCUCCUCCACCUUCCUCUCCCCUCUUCAGGAUUCUCUUUCUACUUCUCUCCCCUGCUCCCUCCCCCAUGUGUCCUUUGGUCCCUCCCUGGCAUUGGUGACAUCUGAGGAAUGACCUGUGAUGGAAAGCCCCCAGCAUAGCGCCUUGAGCAAGAAGAGCCCUGUACCUCCCGCAACGCGGCGCCCGCUCCCACCUCCCCAUCAGCACCCAGACCCAGGGCCGGCUUAUCGCAGGGCCCUCGGGCCUCAGGUUUUCCAUGGGCCCCUGCUCUGGGCAAUGCUCCCCCCCCUUUUCCUCGUCACCCUCCAUUCCCUCGUGUUCCUUUUCCUCUCCACAUCCUUUACCCCUUGCCAAGAACCUCUCUGGUGAGAAGAUCCGUACAGGGAAACCCAGGAUGUUGGAGAACUGGGGAAUUUAAUACAGAGCUGUCUCAGGCUCCAUCCUGGAUCCCAUUUAUGUUCUUUGAGAGAGUAAAUAUUGCAAAUUCUCUUUGGAUUUUGCUUUGCAUGCAGCCCCAGGGGCUGGGGGUGGGGUGGGUAGGGGGGCAGGGAAGUGAACCUGGUUUCAAAGGGAAGAUCCUCCCUCCCUCCCCCCACCUCCUCCCUCCCCCUCCCUUCUCCUUCUCUCCUCAUGGGGUUCCUCCCUUCCCUCCCUUCCUCCCCCUACUUCCUCCUUCCCUCCUCAUGGGGUUCCUCCCUGCCCCCCUCCCUCCCCCACUUCCUCCUUCCCUUCCUCAUGGGACCAUGCGACUCCUUCCUCCCCUCCCUCCUUUCUUCCCUCCAUCCUUCCUCCCUCCCUCUUUCUUUCCUUCUUUCCUUCCUCUCCCUUCCACUGCCCUCCACUAUCUCCUUUUUACUUCUUCCCAGUAGAGCAGCUUGCUUGCCUUUUAGUUUUCUUUCUUCCCUUCCUUUUUCAAAAUGAAACAUACUAGCAGACAUUGUGCGGCCCGCACCAUGUUAAGCGCCCUGAAUGUCUUGACACGUCUAACCCUCUUCAGAAUCCUGUGAGGGGGUACUAUUAAUAUGCUCAUUUUGUAGAUGAAGAAACUGAGGUGCAGGGAGCUCACGUCACUUGCCCAGGGUCACACAGCUAGGAACUGACGGAGCUGGCAUUUGAGUCCAGGCAGGCCAGCUUUCCUCCACACCCCCUCCCCCAGGGCUGCCCUCCAUCCACGCUCUCAGAGCAGAGAACGCCCCUCCAGCUUUCUCCUACUCCUGGCCCCCCCCCCCCUUUGGUGUCUCCCUGUGGCAUCUCACGUACCAUGAUGAUUUCUGACCACCCCUCCUUUUGCCCCUGCCUGAUCUGGUGCUCCUUAGGGGCCGGUCUGGGGCCACAGUUGUCUUGUGUCGGCUCUCAGAGCUUUGGGCAGAGCAAGUGGCUCAUCUGUAGAAAUGAGAAAGACGCCAAAGGAAGCCAGUCCUCGCCAAGGCCUUGAGUGACAGAAAUUUCAGGUCAGGGUCAAUCCCCGCAUGCUCCAUGGAAGGACUAAGGAGAAGAAUGAAGAAUAGGAGGAAGACGGACGUCAUAGGGCAUCAGUCAGGGCCAGCAGCCGACCACCAAUAGAGCUAUUAAGUAUGUGCAAUGAGGCCCGUCCGAGUUCAGCUGUGCUGUGAGUGUAAAAUACACACUGCUUUUGAAGACUAGGUUGGGAGAAAAGAACGUAAAAUAACUUUAACUCAUUAAUAACCUUUUGUAUUGAUUAUUUGACAAAAUAGCACUUUGGAUAUAUUAGGUUAAAUAAAAUAUAGUAAAAUGAAUUCCAGCUGUUUCUUUUUACCUUUUAU
ensembl:lncRNA